AUAAUUAAAAUAAAUAAAUAAAUAAAAUAUAACAAAUUAUUUUGGACUUGGGUCUCCCUCAUUCCAAGCCCAUUACCCACGAAAUUAGUCUAUAAAUACUGAAGUUUCAGUAGGGGGAGUUACACUUGGAGUUUACACUGGGAGAUUCACUGGAGAAAGAAGGAAGAGAAGCAAAACACUCUGAGGUUUCCUUGGAACAAAACCUUGAGGAAAAA
rnacentral:lncRNA from 1 species